rnacentral:rRNA from 1 species
GGUUAUUCCGUUACGAACGAGACCUUAACCUGCUAACUAGUCUGCUUGUAAAUAACAGGUUGUACUUCUUAGAGGGACUAUUGUGCAAUAAGCCAAUGGAAGUUUAAGGCAAUAACAGGUCUGUGAUGCCCCUAGACGUGCUCGGCCGCACGCGCGUUACAAUGACUGGCGCAAAAAGUAUUUCCUGUCCUGGGAAGGUACGGGUAAUCUUAUUAAUACCAGUCGUGUUAGGGAUAGUUCUUUGGAAUUGUGGAUCUUGAACGAGGAAUUUCUAGUAAGUGCAAGUCAUCAGCUUGCGUUGAUUAUGUCCCUGCCGUUUGUACACACCGCCCGUCGCUUGUAGUAACGAAUGGUCUGGUGAACCUUCUGGACUGCGACAGCAAUGUUGCGGAAAAAUAAGUAAACCCUACCAUUUGGAACAACAAGAAGUCGUAACAAGGUAUCUGUAGGUGAACCUGCAGAUGGAUCAUUA